UGUUUUCCUGUCAUAGCUAUUAGACAACUUUGGCUUCUUGCCAUAUUUGCUAUGAAGUGUGAACCAAAGUGGCCAGGAUGAAGAGCUUCAUGCUUCAUGUAGUGCACACUUCAGCUAGAAGGAUUACAUUCCUACGCGCCCAAGACAGAAGAGUAAACAGGUUUUGAAGAGUUCUGCUGUUCCAGCACCCCAGCUGUGGGCCCAGCUUCAGCACUUCUCUGUCCCUCUUCUCUCUCUCUGCACGUUCAAACUCCAUCUGACGAAGUUUGGCAUCAGUGUAUUCCUGGUCAUAGAGUAAACACUGUGAAGCAGCUGAUGGAAAUGUGCCCCACAGUUGACAGCUGGUGGAAGCGCGCAGGAGAAAAUAACACUGAGCGAUUGUGAGGUCUGACUUUUUUGUGGGAAACUGUUUUGUGAUGGAAAUGAACGAAUAUUGUUUUUGAGAAGCAAAAGCUUUACGAAAGUGAUUCUAGCCGGAAAUACUUUCCUCAACAGCGAAACCGACCAGAAUUCGUCUCACGGGACAAAGUGGAGGAGAAGUCACUGAUGAUGCACAACACAGCUGAUGGGGACGUCAUACAAUUUCAUGUCAAAUAAUCCAUACUAUCCCUUUAACAGUGGUGUCAGUAGGCCUAUUUUAGAGGGACUUUCCUAAAAUAUUCUUAAGCCCCCUUAAAUAAUUUGUUAUUUGUUGUUUUAUUUGAAAAAAGUACAAAAUUAAAUGUGCUGACAAAUUCAAUAUAAAGUGGCCAGAAUAUGAGUUUGAAUCAAUAAUGAUGUGUCAUAAUUCACUUAAAAUAUUAAUAAUUAUAGAAAUAUAAGAAACGGAGCAAUUUCUUUUCUGUGUCUGAUGCAAUCCAAUUGUCUUCGAUUUACAUGUACAGUGGGGGUCAAAUGGCUUCGAUGCACUUUUUCAUGCGAUUGAAUGGGACAUUGUAUGCAAACCUUUAGUAGGGACUCUAUUUGAUUAUAAAAGAUUUAAAAAUCACAAAGGCCGCAAUGCAUUGCAUCAGUUGGGUCAUUUGAUUACUGUGAUGCAGGUGCUAUGAAGUUUCUUUGAAUUAAA